rnacentral:rRNA from 1 species
UGGGGAAUAUUGCACAAUGGGCGCAAGCCUGAUGCAGCCAUGCCGCGUGUGUGAAGAAGGCCUUCGGGUUGUAAAGCACUUUCAGCGAGGAGGAAGGUGGUGAGCUUAAUACGCUCAUCAAUUGACGUUACUCGCAGAAGAAGCACCGGCUAACUCCGUGCCAGCAGCCGCGGUAAUACGGAGGGUGCAAGCGUUAAUCGGAAUUACUGGGCGUAAAGCGCACGCAGGCGGUUUGUUAAGUCAGAUGUGAAAUCCCCGGGCUCAACCUGGGAACUGCAUUUGAAACUGGCAAGCUAGAGUCUCGUAGAGGGGGGUAGAAUUCCAGGUGUAGCGGUGAAAAUGCGUAGAGAUCUGGAGGAAUACCGGUGGCGAAGGCGACCCCCCUGGAGAAGACUGACGCUCAGGUGCGAAAGCGUGGGGAGCAAACAGAUUAGUACCCUGGUAGUCACGCUGUAAACGAUGUCGAUUUUGGA